rnacentral:tRNA from 1 species
UGUCAAGGGAUGGGAAUCGAACCCACGACCUUCCGCUUACUGGGCAGAUGCCAUGACCACUAGGCUACCCUGUAC